ensembl:lncRNA OSBPL10-AS1 OSBPL10 antisense RNA 1
AGCAAAGGGGCCGACCUGCAGAAAGGUUCAAGCGAUUCUCCUGCCUCAGCCUCUCAAGUAGCUGGGACUACAGGAACAAACGAAUUGUUUUUUUCAACUUGACAAGUAUCCUGCAUAAAACUGCAUUAAAAACCAGUAACAUCAGACCCGGGAUGGGGACGGAAGGUCCAAAUCAGAACCUCCAUGGAAUGCAUCUCUACAUAUUUUCACAUCUGUUUUCAAGCAAGGAGCAAGACCAGCAAGAAAGUGAGGACUUCCUCUGAUGCACAAACCUGGGAUGUGCUGUGCAAAUCAGCUACCUGGGCUUCCCACCUGUGGAUGCUCACUGACCUGGGGCCGCACCAGGUGAUUUCAGGACUUCCUCAGAGAAAACCCAGGCAAGACACCAGCAACAGAGCUACCCUGAUAAUUAUUAAAUUAGCUCUAUGUGGAGAAGCCAUAUUUGAAUAAGUUAUUAGUGGAGGUCCUUUGUAAACCAUGCUCCAUUAUAUAAAUGGCAGAUGUCAUUAUUUA